UUCUAUUUGCAAGGUUUUAAUUUUGUUUGUUGUUAUGCAUGUUUUUAUCUUAAUAAUAGUUAUUUUUUCUUACUGAUUUUUCAACUUUGUUUUCGCUCCCUUUCUCCAAAUUUCUUAGAUUUGGUUCUAUCUAAUUACCUUGAACCCAUUGAUUGCAGAAAAAUAUUCAUAGGGGGUUUAGCGAGAGAAACGACUAUUGGUGAGUGUUUUCUAUUUGUAUUGUGUUGGUUUGUUUUCUUUCUGGGUUUACCAAUGAGCAUUCGUGUAAUCAACUAUUUUUUUAAAUAAUUUUGUGUGGCGCAAUUCAUCAAGCACUUAGAAAUCGUGGAGAAGACAGUUCAGGUUACUGUGCAUUAUUGUUUCAAAAUGUUAAAUUUUUCCAAAAAAAUUUUCUCGGAGGCUUUUAUUUUCAAUUGUUAAAAAUUAAGCCCAUUGCAGUGUGUCCACAUGUUGAUAGGUUUGGCAUUUGGAGAGGAGGGAACCACAUGUAUAUUGGUUUAAGGUGGAGUUUCUUCUGCAGUGGCAAUACAUGAAGGGAAUUUCCUGGCUUUGGAAACUUCCAUUACCUAGAAAUCGAAAAUGCAAGAGUAUUUUAAGAUUUACCGCAUCAAACUUUAGGUUCCUAUAUCUAUAAACUAUAGACUGCUUGAUGAUCAAAGAGAGGGAGUGAGGUUUUGACAUGGUUUUCUCAACAACGAUCAUGGAGGCAUACUUGGAGAUGACAUAGAGGGAGCAACCAUACCUCGAGAAGGUUUAGAAGGGUGCAAGCGAAACACAGAGCAAUGAACAAUAUCAAUGAUUAUGCAGAAUCCCUCUUUCAGAUGUGCUUAGAAAAUGGUGCGGGGCCAGAAAGAGAUGAGCUUGAUUUUGAGUUUUUGGGGAACAAAACAGGAGAGCCUUAUUUGAUUCAGACUAAUGUAUACAAGAAUGGAACUCGUGGGCGUAAGAUGAGGCACAUGCUUUGGUUUGACCCCGCAGAGGACUACCACACCUAUUCCAUUCAGCAAGAAUUAGAAUGAGAUCAUGUUAAAGAGGCAUUUGCUUAGUUGAUUCUAACUAAUUAACUGCUAUAUAAUUUUAAUUUUUGGAGUUAUUUGCUGCUAGCUAGGGGACUUAUUAGGGAAUAAUUGAACAUGAACAUGUCAUUUGAACCUUAUGAUCAGAAUUGAAAUAUCUUGAUUAUUUUCUCAAUA